GGGAAGGUGGCUCAGUGGUAGAGCGCUUGCCUUGCAUGCAUGAAGGUUCGAUUCCUUAGCA
rnacentral:tRNA from 1 species